rnacentral:rRNA from 1 species
UACGAAGGGGGCUAGCGUUGCUCGGAAUCACUGGGCGUAAAGGGUGCGUAGGCGGGUCUUUAAGUCAGGGGUGAAAUCCUGGAGCUCAACUCCAGAACUGCCUUUGAUACUGAGAUCUUGAGUUCGGAGGAGGUGGAGUGGUGAACUGCGAGUGUAGAGGUGAAAUUCGUAGAUAUCAGGAAGAACACCCGUGGCUAAGGCGGCUCUCUAGUACGGUACUGACGCUGAGACGCGAAAGCGUGGGGAGCGAACAGG